CAGUGACCCUCUGCUUGUACCAAACAUCAGGUUUGCCAAUGGCGUAUUAGGUGGGAUCUCAAAACUAAAGCGACAUGUGAGCCACACGUUCAGGCUGUGCUUUACCUUGCCUGCUCGCGUCGUCCUAUAUGCAGCUACACAGAGAAGACAUAGUAGAGCAAAGAAGACAGAUCGAUCGAUCAAGUUGCAAACAAUGAAGACCCGGAGCCUCAGCCUCGCCGUUGCAGCUACAGCGGUUGCCGCCGCUGUCAUCUUUGCUCUCUCUGCUACAGUCCUCCUGGGAGCAGCCGCUGCCGUCGUCGAGCACACGUUCGUUGUAAGCAUGAUAUGAUACUGAUCGAUGCUCUUCCAUGUUUUAGAUCUCCAUGGUUCAUUGUUGUUUAAUUUCUUCGUAUUACUAGUCAGCGACUCAGCGUCCUUAUGAAUACAUGGCUACAACUACAAGAAAGAAUCUACAUGCAUGUAUGGAUACAAGCAAGCACGCUUGAUGAUUUAACUUGUUCGAGCAUGUACAUGUGUGUAGGUGAGCCAGAUGAAUGUUAGACACUUGUUUA